rnacentral:rRNA from 1 species
AGUGAACGCUGGCGGUAGGCCUAACACAUGCAAGUCGAACGGCAGCACAGUAAGAGCUUGCUCUUACGGGUGGCGAGUGGCGGACGGGUGAGGAAUACAUCGGAAUCUACUUUUUCGUGGGGGAUAACGUAGGGAAACUUACGCUAAUACCGCAUACGACCUACGGGUGAAAGCAGGAGAUCUUCGGACCUUGCGCGAUUGAAUGAGCCGAUGUCGGAUUAGCUAGUUGGCGGGGUAAAGGCCCACCAAGGCGACGAUCCGUAGCUGGUCUGAGAGGAUGAUCAGCCACACUGGGAGUGAGACACGGUCCAGACUCCUACGGAGGGGAGCAGUGGGGAAUAUUAGACAAUGGGCGCAAGCCUGAUCCAGCCAUACCGCGUGUAUGAAGAAGGCCUUCAGGUUGUAAAGCCCUUUUGUUGGGAAAGAAAAGCAGCAGGUUAAUACCCCGCUGUUCUGACGGUACCCAAAGAAUAAGCACCGGCUAACUUCGUG